rnacentral:rRNA from 1 species
GCAGAGGAGACAGGUGGUGCAUGGUUGUCGUCAGCUCGUGUCGUGAGAUGUUGGGUUAAGUCCCGCAACGAGCGCAACCCUUGAUCUUAGUUGCCAGCACUUCGGGUGGGCACUCUAAGAUGACUGCCGGUGACAAACCGGAGGAAGGUGGGGAUGACGUCAAAUCAUCAUGCCCCUUAUGACCUGGGCUACACACGUACUACAAUGGUCGGUACAACGGGAAGCGAAGCCGCGAGGGGGAGCCAAUCCUUAUAAGCCGAUCUCAGUUCGGAUUGCAGGCUGCAACUCGCCUGCAUGAAGUCGGAAUUGCUAGUAAUCGCGGAUCAGCAUGCCGCGGUGAAUACGUUCCCGGGUCUUGUACACACCGCCCGUCACACCACGAGAGUUUACAACACCCGAAGUCGGUGGGGUAACCCGCAA